GACGAACGCUGGCGGCGUGCUUAACACAUGCAAGUCGAACGGAAAGGCCCUGCUUUUGUGGGGUGCUCGAGUGGCGAACGGGUGAGUAACACGUGAGUAACCUGCCCUUGACUUUGGGAUAACUUCAGGAAACUGGGGCUAAUACCGGAUAGGAGCUCCUGCUGCAUGGUGGGGGUUGGAAAGUUUCGGCGGUUGGGGAUGGACUCGCGGCUUAUCAGCUUGUUGGUGGGGUAGUGGCUUACCAAGGCUUUGACGGGUAGCCGGCCUGAGAGGGUGACCGGCCACAUUGGGACUGAGAUAGGGCCCAGACUCCUACGGGAGGCAGCAGUGGGGAAUAUUGCACAAUGGGCGGAAGCCUGAUGCAGCAACGCCGCGUGCGGGAUGACGGCCUUCGGGUUGUAAACCGCUUUCGCCUGUGACGAAGCGUGAGUGACGGUAAUGGAUAAAGAAGCACCGGCUAACUACGUG
rnacentral:rRNA from 1 species